rnacentral:rRNA from 1 species
GGUGAACGCUGGCGGUAUGCCUAACACAUGCAAGUCGAACGGCAGCACAGUAAGAGCUUGCUCUUACGGGUGGCGAGUGGCGGACGGGUGAGGAAUACAUCGGAAUCUACUUUUUCGUGGGGGAUAACGUAGGGAAACUUACGCUAAUACCGCAUACGACCUACGGGUGAAAGCAGGGGAUCUUCGCACCUUGCGCGACUGAAUUAGCCGAUGUCGGAUUAGCUAGUUGGCGGGGUAAAGGCCCACCAAGGCGACGAUCCGUAGCUGGUCUGAGAGGAGGGUCAGCCACACUGGAACUGAGACACGGUCCAGACUCCUACGGGAGGCAGCAGUGGGGAAUAUUGGACAAUGGGCGCAAGCCUGGUCCAGCCAUACCGCGUGGGUGGAGGAGGCCUUCGGGUUGGAAAGCCCUUUUGUUGGGAAAGAAAAGCAGCAGGUUAAUACCCCGCUGUUCUGACGGUACCCAAAGAAUAAGCACCGGCUAACUUCGUG